AACGCACGAGACCUGCGGACCUGCGGAAGGAUCAUUACCGAGUUUACAACUCCCAAACCCAAUGUGAACGUUACCAAACUGUUGCCUCGGCGGGGUCACGCCCCGGGUGCGUCGCAGCCCCGGAACCAGGCGCCCGCCGGAGGGACCAACCAAACUCUUUACUGUAGUCCCCUCGCGGACGUUUUUACUUACAGCUCUGAGCAAAAAUUCAAAAUGAAUCAAAACUUUCAGCAACGGAUC
rnacentral:misc_RNA from 1 species